CAUCACCAAGAGCUCCCUUCCCACCCAUGCUCAGCCUGCCUGGGGAACUCCAGCAGGGAAAGGGGAAGGGUGAGAGGAAGGAGAGCGUAGGGGAGGAGGCGGGGUCAUCAGGGCUCCAUAUCUCAGCCCAAAAACAGAAGCUGCACCCAGAGCAGGCGGACCUGAGGCCCUCACUCUUGGGUGCCCGAGUAGGUGAGAGCUGGGAGUCUGGACACCAGGAGAGUCCAGCAUGUGGGGCCACUUGUCCCUGAUGCCUGCCUUCCUUGCUGUGUGGGCUAUCUCCGGCGUCUGGAUCGUGUGAGUGUCAGAGGCACCAUGGACUCC
rnacentral:lncRNA from 1 species